AGUAACGCGUGGGUAACCUGCCUCAUACAGGGGGAUAACAGUCAGAAAUGGCUGCUAAUACCGCAUAAGCGCACAGAGCUGCAUGGCUCAGUGUGAAAAACUCCGGUGGUAUAAGAUGGACCCGCGUUGGAUUAGCUAGUUGGUGGGGUAACGGCCCACCAAGGCGACGAUCCAUAGCCGGCCUGAGAGGGUGAACGGCCACAUUGGGACUGAGACACGGCCCAA
rnacentral:rRNA from 1 species